rnacentral:snoRNA from 1 species
AAGCAUGUACUGUGCUAGAGCAAUGUCUCUUCUUUUCUUCUGCAUCGAAAGGACUAUUUAUCCCUUUAAAUAUACUCAAAAGGUCAGCAUAUUA